CCAGCAAGGGUGACCCCGUUGUACAAUGGUUAAUAAACCUCUUGCUUUUGCAACGAGUCUUGGUCUGGGGGAGUUUCUGGGAAGGGCGCGAUUGAACUCCUGAGCUGUGAGACCCCAGGUCUUACAUUUUUGGUGCGUUGGCCGGGAAAGGGCGUGCCCCUUCCCCAACCCUCAUCAGGCUGAACUCGGAGGUCGAGCACGGAACAGAAAGUCCCAAAAUCCUGGCAGUAGCUCCCCAAGGUCUCCGAGAAGAUUUGGACAACAACAGAUGACUGCAACUCUGGAUUGUGGUAUGCUAACCACUGGGCAAUACUGCCCCAACUGGCCCACUGCUAGGGCCCAGCCUAAACGGUAGACAAAGCCGGGGACACCUGAAGAGCCAUUGUCUCACAUUGUGAGAGGCAAGGACUGGAUUCUAUUUUGGAGAAAGACUAGGAAUUCAUGCUCCCCAGCCAUUUUAUGGACUUUCUGAAAUCUAACUACUAUCAUGAAUUACAGUGAGGCUUAACCAUUCUUUCACCUGUGACCAAGAAGCAUCUUGCCAAUAAUGUUCACCUUGAUAUGGAAAAAAAUACAUGGACAGCUUGCCAAUAAUGAUUCUGGCACUUCUCCUGGAGAUAUUGUUUAAGGUGUUAGGACACGCCACUAGGUUAAAAAUCAGUUAGCUAUUACAGGAUGUUUGUUUGUUAGGUAAGACAUAAUUCAGUAAAUAUGAAACAUGAAUAUUUUCCAAUUUUACUUUCUUUAAGCAGCAUUCUGUCUGUUGCCUGAGGAAAGAUAAAGCCUUCUGCUAGUUAUGCUACUCAUUCACUAACUAUAUCAGGUGCUUACUAUGCAUAUUAUGUUAGUGUUCUCAAAACCUAUCAAUAAUGGGGAAGUGUUUCUCUUGGAGAAGAAUUGCCAGAUAAGCAAUUGUUCUAUCCAUGAGUGCAAUCUGCAGAUAUUUAUAAGAUGGCAUUUCAAAACGCAGAGAGAAAUAAAAAAGAAGAAACAAAGAAAGAAAAAAAACCUGAUGAAAUAAAUAAAACCAAAAGAUAAUUCAGAAUGGAAAAUGUGUAGGAAUGAAUAAAAGUGUAAAGGGAGAGAAACGGGUAGAGACACAGGGAGAGAGGAAAGAAGAUGUGAGAAGCAAAAGAUGAAAGGAGGAAAAUACAGAUACCCCCAAAGGAUUAAUUUCUUUAGGUAUAUAUAAAACUUUUUGUAAAAAACAAUUAAUGAAAAAAGAGGUGAUGAAUGUGCAAGAAAGGGAAUAUAGGUAGUUUUGUAUGCACAAAAAUGAAGGGGUUUAUUGUAAUUAUUAUAUAAUCUAAAAAGAAAAAAAUAACAUUGGAUAACCAGGUGCUGUCUUUCUUUAGGUAAACUAUAUCUUCCAUUUUCAACAUUGUGAUUUUCUCUGAGAUCUUUGUAUAUGGUUGGGCUUUCCUAAUAUACUUUGCCAUAUCUAUUGUUGGGUCUUUUCAGCUCUUCUUCAUACUGUAAUGUUUGUGCAACUUUUUUGCAAUGAGGAGAUCAACUAGGAGUUUUUGGUGUGAGUAAAAUGAAGUGGAAUUAAAUUAAUAAUCUCAUAAUCUCAAAAACAUAAUAAAAAUGAAUAUUGGAUGAAAAGAUUGUAUGCCUUUACCUUCAUGGCCAGGAUAACUUGGAUAUGUUGUAUCUCCAGGCAAUGAGCUAAGAAAGCGGUGAAAAAAUCCAAGGACACUGCAUCUAUCUGUUUGAAAUUUGCAUUUCUGUCUUUUCUGCUAAGCGGGACAAGGGAAGAUUCUCCCUUGUUCAAGCCUUAAUUGUGUACUUCUUGCUUGCUAGUGUUUUGCAUUAUUUUGAUCAUGGUCAAAAUUAGAACUGAGAGUCUGUUUUCUAUGUCUAUUAAGUCAAAAAUUUAAAAACUAUGAAUGACUUUUGAAAUUUCACUAGCCAACAUGGUCACAGGACUUUAAAUCUCAUGGACUUAAUCAUACAUUUAGAGAGAUUAACCAAACCCCAUUUUUAGCUUGAAGAGAGUGAAGAAGUCUCAGCAACGAAACAAUUGAAACUGAAUGAAGAGGCAGAGCCAAAGUCCUCUUAGUAUGCAACAGCCUCAUCCUAACUUGGAGAGUGCUGAGUAACCCUCAGCUAUUAUCUUGCCACCAGGUUCAAGGGUGACCCAAAAUGCUAUCAGUCUUUCCAUGUGUUACUGACACUGUGGCUUUUAAAAACCAUUACUUUGUCAAUGUUGGGCACUUGCCACAACAGAGAAAAACACCUGUUUCAUCAACCAUGGCCAAGUCUAAGAAAUAGUGUCAAAUCUUGCUGAAUGUAGGUACCCAGCAGAAAACUAACUCCAUUGUGCAUAUUUCUAAAACCAUGGGUUUCUCAGUUUACAUUUGAAAUUCUUGAAGGAGAGAAUAUGCACCAGCAAAUUGCUAAGCAACUUGUUCAUAGACUGUAGUCUGUGCCAUCGGAUACACUUGUCUUUAGUUUUAGUGACAGUUGAGGCCCUAUUCAAAGUCUUGGAUCAUGGCUUGAUUGGUGCCAUAACUACCAACAUAUUCUGACUUGAAAGGUUUACUGGAUACUGAUCUAAGGAAGUAAAAUAUCCAAAAUACCUCUGCAUCUAUGCCUCUCACUACAUGUUCUGUUCAUAAUAUCAGCCCCAACAAUCUCAUUAUGGUGUCCAGACAACAAUUAUAAUAUCACACUUUGCAACAGUCUAAUACAACUCCCCAUGCCACACUUAUGAUGACCACUGUUGACCACUCAGUAUAUAUGACUUUACUUUUUCUAAGAGUACAAGUCUGGUUGUGAUUUGUCACUUUUUUUUUUUUUUUGCUUCUUCUACACAGCUUUCUACGAUGAAUGCAGUGAAACAUACAUGCAAC